AACGCACCUUGCGCCCUUUGGUACUCCGAAGGGCACACCUGUUUGAGUGUCUUGAAUGCCUCUUCCUUCAACGUUUUUCACGAAAUGUUGUACUGGUCGGAUGUUGAGCGCUGUUGGACUUUCGGGUUCAACUCGCUUCAAAUUAAUGAGCAGGCUCUUGUACUUGAUCGGACUGACUCGGCGUAAUAGUUCAAACUUCGUCGAGGACGCUUUCAUUAGCGGCCGGUCUACAAGGUUAAUUGCCGCUUCUAGUUGCCCCUUAUAAUUAUUAGACCUCAAAUCAGGUGGGAUUACCCGCUGAACUUAA
rnacentral:misc_RNA from 1 species